rnacentral:rRNA from 1 species
AAGCGGUGGAGCAUUGUGGUUUAAUUCGAAGCAACGCGAAGAACCUUUACCAGGUCUUGACAUCCCGAUGCUAUUUCUAGAGAUAGAAAGUUACUUCGGUACAUCGGUGACAGGUGGUGCAUGGUUGUCGUCAGCUCGUGUCGUGAGAUGUUGGGUUAAGUCCCGCAACGAGCGCAACCCCUAUUGUUAGUUGCCAUCAUUCAGUUGGGCACUCUAGCGAGACUGCCGGUAAUAAACCGGAGGAAGGUGGGAUGACGUCAAAUCAUCAUGCCCCUUAUGACCUGGGCUACACACGUGCUACAAUGGUUGGUACAACGAGUUGCGAGUCGGUGACGGCGAGCUAAUCUCUUAAAGCCAAUCUCAGUUCGGAUUGUAGGCUGCAACUCGCCUACAUGAAGUCGGAAUCGCUAGUAAUCGCGGAUCAGCACGCCGCGGUCGAAUACGUUCCCGGGCCUU